AUGUUGAUGGGUACGACAAGUUGAAGCCAUUUGGCUUCGCUAUACAUGGUGCAAUGUGUGGAUUUUCAAGACGAAUACUAUGGCUUAAAGUUGCAAGAACAAACAAUGACUCUUUUGUUGUAGCAUCAUAUUUCUUGAAAUACCUGGAGGAAAUAAAUAGUGCUCCAAGGUGUGUGAGACUUGAUGCUGGAACUGAGAAUAUAUACAUUGAGGACAUUCAAAAAUCCUUCCGUUGGUACGAUAAUGAUGACAUGUGUGGAGAAAAAAGUGUAAUCAAAGGAAG